UGUAGGUGAGGACUGUUCUCUUGCAAUGUGGUUUGCUCCUGGCUCAGCCUCAGCCUUAGAGGUAGCUGCAGCCCCUGGAUUAACACCGUGUCAAUGGGAUGUUGAUGAUUUGGAGAUUUAAACUGAGAGAGGGUUCAAACUGUGCUAGAUCCUGUACUAAUAGCUCCUGUACUGAUACUGCAUCUUGCUCCUAGGACUUCCACUCUGGGAGGCUGGAUUUAUGGGCCGUGUGAAGAACGCUACUGACCUGAGCUGGACUGGAGCA